rnacentral:rRNA from 1 species
UGGCUCAGGACGAACGCUGGCGGCGUGCCUAAUACAUGCAAGUCGAGCGACGCGAAACUAACAGAUUUACUUCGGUAAUGACGUUAGGAAAGCGAGCGGCGGAUGGGUGAGUAACACGUGGGGAACCUGCCCCAUAGUCUGGGAUACCACUUGGAAACAGGUGCUAAUACCGGAUAAGAAAGCAGAUCGCAUGAUCAGCUUUUAAAGGCGGCGUAAGCUGUCGCUAUGGGAUGGCCCCGCGGUGCAUUAGCUAGUUGGUAAGGUAAAGGCUUACCAAGGCGAUGAUGCAUAGCCGAGUUGAGAGACUGAUCGGCCACAUUGGGACUGAGACACGGCCCAAACUCCUACGGGAGGCAGCAGUAGGGAAUCUUCCACAAUGGACGCAAGUCUGAUGGAGCAACGCCGCGUAAGUGAAGAAGGUUUUCGGAUCGUAAAGCUCUGUUGUUGGUGAAGAAGGAUAGAGGUAGUAACUGGCCUUUAUAUUACGGUAAUCAACCAGAAAGUCACGGCUAACUACGUGCCAGCAGCCGCGGUAAUAUCGUAGGUGGCAAGCGUUGUCCGGAUUUAUUGGGCGUAAAGCGAGCGCAGGCGGAAGAAUAAGUCUGAUGUGAAAGCCCUCGGCUUAACCGAGGAACUGCAUCGGAAACUGUUUUUCUUGAGUGCAGAAGAGGAGAGUGGAACUCCAUGUGUAGCGGUGGAAUGCGUAGAUAUAUGGAAGAACACCAGUGGCGAAGGCGGCUCUCUGGUCUGCAACUGACGCUGAGGCUCGAAAGCAUGGGUAGUGAACAGGAUUAGAUACCCUGGUAGUCCAUGCCGUAAACGAUGAGUGCUAAGUGUUGGGAGGUUUCCGCCUCUCAGUGCUGCAGCUAACGCAUUAAGCACUCCGCCUGGGGAGUACGACCGCAAGGUUG